rnacentral:rRNA from 1 species
GACGAACGCUGGCGGCGUGCUUAACACAUGCCAGUCGUACGGUAAGGCCCUUUCGGGGGUCCACGCGUGGCGGACGGGUGAGUAACAAGUGAGUAACCUGCCCACCAUUUUGGGUUAACGAUAUGCAAGUGGUUCUAAUACUGGCUAUGUGGUACCGCUGCCUGGUGGGUGUUGGAAAGCUCCGGGGGGUGUGGAUGGAUUCGCGGGCUACUUGCUUGGUUGUGGGGUAGUGGCCUACCGAGGCGGGGACGGGUCGCCGGCCUGAGAGGGUGGCCGGCCACAGUGGGACUGAGAGACGGCCCAGACGCCUACGGGGGGCAGCAGUGGGGAAUAUUGCACAAGGGGCGCAAGCCGGAUGCAGCAACGCCGCGGGCGGGAGGACGGCCUUCGGGUUGUAAACCGCGUUCAGCAGGGACGAAGCUUUUUGUGACGGUACCUGCAGAAGAAGCACCGGCUAACUACGUG